UACGUAGGGGGCUAGCGUUGUCCGGAAUCAUUGGGCGUAAAGAGCGUGUAGGCGGCUCGGUAAGUCCGCUGUAAAAGUCAAAGGCUCAACCUUUGAAUGUCAGUGGAUACUGCCGGGCUAGAGUCCGGAAGAGGCGAGUGGAACUCCUGGUGUAGCGGUGGAAUGCGCAGAUAUCAGGAAGAACACCAAUGGCGAAGGCAGCUCGCUGGGACGUGACUGACGCUGAGACGCGAAAGCGUGGGGAGCAAACAGG
rnacentral:rRNA from 1 species